rnacentral:rRNA from 1 species
UGCAGUCGAGCGGACAGAAGGGAGCUUGCUCCCGGAUGUUAGCGGCGGACGGGUGAGUAACACGUGGGUAACCUGCCUGUAAGACUGGGAUAUCUCCGGGAAACCGGAGCUAAUACCGGAUAGUUCCUUGAACCGCAUGGUUCAAGGAUGAAAGACGGUUUCGGCUGUCACUUACAGAUGGACCCGCGGCGCAUUAGCUAGUUGGUGAGGUAACGGCUCACCAAGGCGACGAUGCGUAGCCGACCUGAGAGGGUGAUCGGCCACACUGGGACUGAGACACGGCCCAGACUCCUACGGGAGGCAGCAGUAGGGAAUCUUCCGCAAUGGACGAAAGUCUGACGGAGCAACGCCGCGUGAGUGAUGAAGGUUUUCGGAUCGUAAAGCUCUGUUGUUAGGGAAGAACAAGUGCAAGAGUAACUGCUUGCACCUUGACGGUACCUAACCAGAAAGCCACSSCUAACUACGUGCCAGCAGCCGCGGUAAUACGUAGGUGGCAAGCGUUGUCCGGAAUUAUUGGGCGUAAAGGGCUCGCAGGCGGUUUCUUAAGUCUGAUGUGAAAGCCCCCGGCUCAACCGGGGAGGGUCAUUGGAAACUGGGAAACUUGAGUGCAGAAGAGGAGAGUGGAAUUCCACGUGUAGCGGUGAAAUGCGUAGAGAUGUGGAGGAACACCAGUGGCGAAGGCGACUCUCUGGUCUGUAACUGACGCUGAGGAGCGAAAGCGUGGGGAGCGAACAGGAUUAGAUACCCUGGUAGUCCACGCCGUAAACGAUGAGUGCUAAGUGUUAGGGGGUUUCCGCCCCUUAGUGCUGCAGCUAACGCAUUAAGCACUCCGCCUGGGGAGUACGGUCGCAAGACUGAAACUCAAAGGAAUUGACGGGGGCCCGCACAAGCGGUGGAGCAUGUGGUUUAAUUCGAAGCAACGCGAAGAACCUUACCAGGUCUUGACAUCCUCUGACAACCCUAGAGAUAGGGCUUUCCCUUCGGGGACAGAGUGACAGGUGGUGCAUGGUUGUMGUCARCUCGUGUCGUGAGAUGUUGGGUUAAGUCCCGCAACGAGCGCAACCCUUGAUCUUAGUUGCCAGCAUUCAGUUGGGCACUCUAAGGUGACUGCCGGUGACAAACCGGAGGAAGGUGGGGAUGACGUCAAAUCAUCAUGCCCCUUAUGACCUGGGCUACACACGUGCUACAAUGGACAGAACAAAGGGCUGCGAGACCGCAAGGUUUAGCCAAUCCCACAAAUCUGUUCUCAGUUCGGAUCGCAGUCUGCAACUCGACUGCGUGAAGCUGGAAUCGCUAGUAAUCGCGGAUCAGCAUGCCRCGGUGAAUACGUUCCCGGGCCUUGUACACACCGCCCGUCACACCACGAGAGUUUGCAACAYCCGAAGUCGGUGAGGUAACCU